rnacentral:rRNA from 1 species
AGAGUUUGAUCCUGGCUCAGGACGAACGCUGGCGGCGUGCUUAACACAUGCAAGUCGAGCGGAAAGGCCCUUCGGGGUACUCGAGCGGCGAACGGGUGAGUAACACGUGAGUAACCUGCCCUGGACUUUGGGAUAACCCUCGGAAACGGGGGCUAAUACCGGAUACGACACUCCACCGCAUGGUGUGUUUGUGGAAAGUUUUUCGGUCUGGGAUGGGCUCGCGGCCUAUCAGCUUGUUGGUGGGGUAAUGGCCUACCAAGGCGACGACGGGUAGCCGGCCUGAGAGGGCGACCGGCCACACUGGGACUGAGACACGGCCCAGACUCCUACGGGAGGCAGCAGUGGGGAAUAUUGCACAAUGGGCGGAAGCCUGAUGCAACGACGCCGCGUGAGGGAUGACGGCCUUCGGGUUGUAAACCUCUUUCAGCAGGGACGAAGCGCAAGUGACGGUACCUGCAGAAGAAGCGCCGGCCAACUACGUGCCAGCAGCCGCGGUAAGACGUAGGGCGCGAGCGUUGUCCGGAUUUAUUGGGCGUAAAGAGCUCGUAGGCGGCUUGUCGCGUCGACCGUGAAAACUUGGGGCUCAACCCCAAGCCUGCGGUCGAUACGGGCAGGCUAGAGUUCGGUAGGGGAGACUGGAAUUCCUGGUGUAGCGGUGAAAUGCGCAGAUAUCAGGAGGAACACCGAUGGCGAAGGCAGGUCUCUGGGCCGAUACUGACGCUGAGGAGCGAAAGCGUGGGGAGCGAACAGGAUUAGAUACCCUAGUAGUCC